UCCUCACUGGUUGCAGAAUAAGUCUCUCCAAAGAUUCCAGUGACGACAAGAGACGGAGACGUAGAAGUGAAGUAUUUGUCAAACGCUUUUGGACCACUGCAUGCUCUCAUAAAGGACGACCACUGAGAGGCAACGGGGUGGAGAAGAAGCC